GGGGAUGUGGCUCAGUGGUAGAGCGCUCACCUUGCAUGUGUGUGGCCCUAGGUUCCAUCCUCA
rnacentral:tRNA from 1 species